rnacentral:rRNA from 1 species
GGGGGAUAAAUUAAUAAAGUAUAAAUAAUAAAAAAAUUUUUAAUAUUAAAAUAGUUUAAUGGGGGUUAAAGUAUAUUUAAUAGAAAAAAUUAAAAAAUUUAUAGUAAAUUAGUAUUGUAAAAGAAAUUUGAAAUAUAUUGAAAAUAAAUUUAUUUAAAAGUAAAUUUAAUUUAUUGUAUCUUGUGUAUCAGAGUUUAUUAAUAAUAUUUUUUAUUUAAAAAUUUUCUCGAAUUUAAAAGAGAUAAUUGAUUAUUAAAGUUAAUGUUGAAUAAUUAUUUUGAAUAAUUGAUUUGAAAUGAAAUGUUAAUCGUUUUUAAAUAUAUCUAGUUUUUUUAGAAAAAAAUUUAAUUUUAAAUUUUAAAAAAUAUAAUUUUAAUUAAUUAAAAUUAUAUUUUUAAAAUUAAAUAUUUUAAGGGAUAAGCUUUAAAAUAAAUUUUUAUAAUAAAUUUUUAUAAUAAUUAAAAUUUUUAAAAUUUGUAUUGUUUAUAAAUUUUAAUUUUUUAUAAAUAAUUUUAAUUAAAUUAAAAUUUAAAAUUUAUUUAAGUAUUUAUAGAAAAAUAUUUUAUAAUAAUUUAAAUUUAGAUAUAAUGAUAAAAUUAGUAUAUAAUUAAAUAAAAAUGAUUUAUUUUUUGAUAAUUUAAUAAAAGGAAUUCGGCAAAAAUUUAUAUUCACUUGUUUAUCAAAAACAUGUCUUUUUGAUUAAUAAUUUAAAGUCUAAUCUGCCCACUGAUAUUAUAUUAAAGGGCUGCAGUAUUUUGACUGUACAAAGGUAGCAUAAUCAUUAGUCUCUUAAUUGGUGACUUGUAUGAAAGAUUUGAUGAGAUAUAUACUGUCUCUUUUUAAUUUAUAAAAUUUAAUUUUUUAGUUAAAAAGCUAAAAUAUAUUUAAAAGACGAGAAGACCCUAUAGAGUUUUAUAUUUAUAUAAAUUAGAAUUUUUUAUAAGAUUUAAAAUUUUAAUAUGUUUAAAUAUUGUGUUGGGGUGAUAAAAAAAUUUGAAUAACUUUUUUUAUAAAUUAACAUUUAUAAAUGAAUAAAUGAUCCGUAAUUUACGAUUAUAAGAAAAAAUUACCUUAGGGAUAACAGCGUAAUUUUUUUUUUUAGUUCAAAUAAGAAUAAAAGUUUGCGACCUCGAUGUUGGAUUAAGAUAAAAUUUAAAUGCAAAAGUUUAAAAUUUUUGAUCUGUUCGAUCAUUAAAAUCUUACAUGAUCUGAGUUCAAACCGGUGUAAGCCAGGUUGGUUUCUAUCUUUAAAUUUAUAAAAUAUUUUAGUACGAAAGGAUCAAAUAUUAAAAAUAAUUUUAUAUAAUAAGAAUUUUAAUAAUAGUAGGUUAAAUAU